ACAUGCAAGUCGAACGAACUCUGGUAUUGAUUGGUGCUUGCAUCAUGAUUUACAUUUGAGUGAGUGGCGAACUGGUGAGUAACACGUGGGAAACCUGCCCAGAAGCGGGGGAUAACACCUGGAAACAGAUGCUAAUACCGCAUAACAACUUGGACCGCAUGGUCCGAGCUUGAAAGAUGGCUUCGGCUAUCACUUUUGGAUGGUCCCGCGGCGUAUUAGCUAGAUGGUGGGGUAACGGCUCACCAUGGCAAUGAUACGUAGCCGACCUGAGAGGGUAAUCGGCCACAUUGGGACUGAGACACGGCCCAAACUCCUACGGGAGGCAGCAGUAGGGAAUCUUCCACAAUGGACGAAAGUCUGAUGGAGCAACGCCGCGUGAGUGAAGAAGGGUUUCGGCUCGUAAAACUCUGUUGUUAAAGAAGAACAUAUCUGAGAGUAACUGUUCAGGUAUUGACGGUAUUUAACCAGAAAGCCACGGCUAACUACGUGCCAGCAGCCGCGGUAAUACGUAGGUGGCAAGCGUUGUCCGGAUUUAUUGGGCGUAAAGCGAGCGCAGGCGGUUUUUUAAGUCUGAUGUGAAAGCCUUCGGCUCAACCGAAGAAGUGCAUCGGAAACUGGGAAACUUGAGUGCAGAAGAGGACAGUGGAACUCCAUGUGUAGCGGUGAAAUGCGUAGAUAUA
rnacentral:rRNA from 1 species